AGCGAACGCUGGCGGCAGGCUUAACACAUGCAAGUCGAGCGCCCCGCAAGGGGAGCGGCAGACGGGAGAGUAACACGUGGGAACAUACCUUUUGGUUCGGAACAACUGAGGGAAACUUCAGCUAAUACCGGAUAAGCCCUUACGGGGAAAGAUUUAUCGCCGAAAGAUUGGCCCGCGUCUGAUUAGCUCGUUGGUGAGUUAACGGCUCCCAAAGGGGACGAUCCGUAGCUGGUCUGAGAGGAUGACCAGCCCCACUGGGCCUGAGACACGGCCCAGACUCCUACGGGAGGCAGGAGUGGGGAAUAUAGGACAAUGGGGGGAGCCCUGAUCCAGCCAGGCCGGGUGAGUGAUGAAGGCCUUAGAGUAGUAAAGCACUUUUGCCCGGGAAGAUAAUGACGGUACCGGGAGAAUAAGCCCCGGCUAACUUCGUG
rnacentral:rRNA from 1 species